UACAGAGGGGGCAAGCGUUGUUCGGAAUUACUGGGCGUAAAGGGCUCGUAGGUGGCCAACUAAGUCAGACGUGAAAUCCCUCGGCUUAACCGGGGAACUGCGUCUGAUACUGGAUGGCUGGAGUAUGGGAGAGGAAUGCGGAAUUCCAGGUGUAGCGGUGAAAUGCGUAGAUAUCUGGAGGAACACCGGUGGCGAAGGCGGCAUUCUGGACCAUUACUGACGCUGAGGAGCGAAAGCCAGGGGAGCAAACGGG
rnacentral:rRNA from 1 species